UACGUAGGGUGCGAGCGUUAAUCGGAAUUACUGGGCGUAAAGCGUGCGCAGGCGGUUCGUUAAGUCAGCUGUGAAAGCCCCGGGCUUAACCUGGGAAUGGCCGUUGAAACUGGCGAACUGGAGUGUGGCAGAGGGGGGUGGAAUUCCGCGUGUAGCAGUGAAAUGCGUAGAGAUGCGGAGGAACACCGAUGGCGAAGGCAGCCCCCUGGGCUAACACUGACGCUCAGGCACGAAAGCGUGGGGAGCAAACAGG
rnacentral:rRNA from 1 species